GACGAACGCUGGCGGCGUGCUUAACACAUGCAAGUCGAACGGAAAGGCCCUGCUUUUGUGGGGUGCUCGAGUGGCGAACGGGUGAGUAACACGUGAGUAACCUGCCCUUGACUUUGGGAUAACUUCAGGAAACUGGGGCUAAUACCGGAUAGGAGCUCCUGCUGCAUGGUGGGGGUUGGAAAGUUUCGGCGGUUGGGGAUGGACUCGCGGCUUAUCAGCUUGUUGGUGGGGUAGUGGCUUACCAAGGCUUUGACGGGUAGCCGGCCUGAGAGGGUGACCGGCCACAUUGGGACUGAGAUACGGCCCAGACUCCUACGGGAGGCAGCAGUGGGGAAUAUUGCACAAUGGGCGGAAGCCUGAUGCAGCAACGCCGCGCGCGGGAUGACGACCUUCGGGUUGUAAACCGCUUUCGCCUGUGACGAAGCGUGAGUGACGGUAAUGGGUAAAGAAGCACCGGCUAACUACGUG
rnacentral:rRNA from 1 species